UUUGGGUUCGAACGCUGGCCUCAGGUUGAUAGAAAUAUCGCCUGGGGCUUUUGUCC
rnacentral:antisense_RNA from 6 species